AAAGUCGUAACAAGGUAUCCGUAGGUGAACCUGCGGAUGGAUCAUUAACAAGUAUGUGCGCGGCCUCUGGCCGACUGCUCAUUUUGUUACCCUUGUGGUUUAUAGAUCAAUAUCUUGAGGAUUGGCGUUGUGCUGUGCGCUUGCGUGCACACACGCCGACCUCUACAAACCAUACCUAUAUUCUGAGUAUCUGAAGUUGCCUUGUGGACGCUGGCGUCUCUCUCUCUCUCUCUCGAGAGGGGAUGGUCGGUCACCAAGUAAAUCAAUUGUAAUUCUAUACAACUGCUAGCAACGGAUCACUCGGCUCUC
rnacentral:misc_RNA from 1 species